rnacentral:rRNA from 1 species
GAUUGAACGCUGGCGGAAUGCUUUACACAUGCAAGUCGAGCGGCAGCGCGGGGGCAACCCUGGCGGCGAGCGGCGAACGGGUGAGUAAUACAUCGGAACGUGUCCUUGAGUGGGGGAUAGCUCGGCGAAAGCCGGAUUAAUACCGCAUAAGCUCUGAGGAGGAAAGCGGGGGACCUGGUAACGGGCCUCGCGCUGUUGGAGCGGCCGAUGUCGGAUUAGCUAGUUGGUGGGGUAAAGGCCCACCAAGGCGACGAUCCGUAGCUGGUCUGAGAGGAUGAUCAGCCACACUGGAACUGAGACACGGUCCAGACUCCUACGGGAGGCAGCAGUGGGGAA